CCUACGGGCGGCAGCAGUGGGGAAUAUUGGACAAUGGGGGCAACCCUGAUCCAGCCAUGCCGCGUGUGUGAAGAAGGCCCUCGGGUUGUAAAGCACUUUCAGUGAGGAAGAACGCCUGGUGGUUAAUACCCAUCAGGAAAGACAUCACUCACAGAAGAAGCACCGGCUAACUCCGUGCCAGCAGCCGCGGUAAUACGGAGGGUGCGAGCGUUAAUCGGAAUUACUGGGCGUAAAGCGCGCGUAGGUGGCUUGAUAAGCCGGUUGUGAAAGCCCCGGGCUCAACCUGGGAACGGCAUCCGGAACUGUCAAGCUAGAGUGCAGGAGAGGAAGGUAGAAUUCCCGGUGUAGCGGUGAAAUGCGUAGAGAUCGGGAGAAAUACCAGUGGCGAAGGCGGCCUUCUGGACUGACACUGACACUGAGGUGCGAAAGCGUGGGUAGCAAACAGGAUUAGAUACCCUGGUAGUC
rnacentral:rRNA from 1 species